rnacentral:rRNA from 1 species
UACGAAGGGGGCUAGCGUUGCUCGGAAUCACUGGGCGUAAAGGGUGCGUAGGCGGGUUUUUAAGUCAGAGGUGAAAUCCUGGAGCUCAACUCCAGAACUGCCUUUGAUACUGGGAGUCUCGAGUUCGGGAGAGGUGAGUGGAACUGCGAGUGUAGAGGUGAAAUUCGUAGAUAUUCGCAAGAACACCAGUGGCGAAGGCGGCUCACUGGCCCGAUACUGACGCUGAGGUGCGAAAGCGUGGGGAGCAGACAGG